UCUGUCUAAGAUUCUCUCAAAUAAGCCAAAUCGGGUUUAAGUUUGCAGCAACAAAGGAAGAGAUCUCCAGAGAAAAGAUGAAGACGUUUUUAAUUGUUGCCUUGUGUCUGAGCUUGCUGUUUGUGGUUGGCAACGCAAAGCCACCUUUCUGUGGCAAAAACGCGGUAUGCGUGAGGUUUGAACCGAACUUGCAGGUUCGAUAUGACGGCGCCUGUAAACUACCGGAUUGGGAAUGUCUGUGCCUGCCAAACUACUAUGGUGACCCGUACGAUGAAUGUUAUACGGAGACUCCGUAUAAAUAGGAUAAAAGAGGGACUGAAAGCCGUUUUAAUAUGACACGACCUUAACCACAAAUACUAUAGCUUCAUUAGGACAGAUGGCGGAAUAUAAAAAAACAUGGUGAUCUAUUAUUGUCUUAAAGUUUCUGUAAAAUCCCACUGCAAUAGCCAUUAAGAACAUUGUGUUGUGCGAAUUAUUAAUUCACAUCCUAAACUAUAAUUCGUUCGUCAUAUGUGCGAAUUUUGUCCUUACAGGAGACUGGAAGAAGUAAAAUAAAUAAUAAAAUGUUCGUCGAA
rnacentral:lncRNA from 1 species